AAACAGUCCUUCUCAGGACUAUACCAACCUGGACGAUCUACAUUUACAAACAUGUUAUUAAGCGCCAUGUUGUAUAAGAUUCAUUUGAAAGCGAUGCUUAAAAUGGCGACUGUGAAAGAAUCUUGGCAGCUGGCUUUUGCAAUUCAGUGAAACCAACCUUUAGAGUAUAAAUUAGGUCCCUCAGGAAUCAAUGAAGAGAGAAUUACCGGCUAAGGCUGUUGUUAUGACAGGAUGCAUAAGAACGCUUACAACUGUUAUUAUCCAACUAAUACUUGCCAUGUUGUUA